rnacentral:lncRNA from 1 species
UGACGCAUUUACGGACUUGAAGAGGAUAACGAAAUCCCACAUUCCCGCGAAAAAUGUUCCAAACCGUAUUGAUGUCCCUAUUGGACAAUCAUCUAGUGUCAUAACCAAUGAGUCGAAUGCAUGCCUGAAGCGUGCAGACCAUUAGGUUCCAAAGAUCGAAUUCCUAGAAAGAGGAAAAAGAACGAUCAAAAUGACACCACGAAAGAAUCUCAUGAUUUAACAAA